UACGUAGGUGGCAAGCGUCGUCCGGAUUUACUGGGCGUAAAGAGCGCGCAGGCGGUCGGAUAAGUCGAAUGUGAAAGCCCCCGGCUCAACUGGGGAGGGUCAUUCGAUACUGUUCGACUCGAAGGCAGGAGAGGGAAGUGGAAUUCCCGGUGUAGUGGUGAAAUGCGUAGAUAUCCGGAGGAACACCGGUGGCGAAGGCGGCUUCCUGGACCGACGCUGACGCUGAGGCGCGAAAGCUAGGGGAGCAAACGGG
rnacentral:rRNA from 1 species